CCUACGGGGGGCAGCAGUGGGGAAUAUUGCACAAUGGGGGAAACCCUGAUGCAGCGAAGCCGCGUGAGUGAAGAAGUAAUUCGUUAUGUAAAGCUCUAUCAGCAGGGAAGCAAAUGACGGUACCUGAGUAAUAAGCCACGGCUAACUACGUGCCAGCAGCCGCGGUCAUACGUCGGGGGCUAGCGUUAUCCGGAUUUACUGGGUGUAAAGGGAGCGUUGACGGCAGUGCAAGUCUGGAGGGAAAGGCGGGGGCUCAACCCCCGGACUGCUCUGGAAACUGUACGGCUGGAGUGCAGGAGAGGUAAGUGGAAUGCCUGGUGUAGCGGUGAAAUGCGUAGAUAUUAGGAAGAACACCAGUUGCGAAGGCGGCUUACUGGACUGUAACUGACGUUGAGGCUCGAAAGCGUGGGGAGCAAACAGGAUUAGAUACCCCUGUAGUC
rnacentral:rRNA from 1 species